GAUGAACGCUGGCGGCGUGCCUAAUACAUGCAAGUCGAGCGAACGGACGAGAAGCUUGCUUCUCUGACGUUAGCGGCGGACGGGUGAGUAACACGUGGAUAACCUACCUAUAAGACUGAGAUAACUUCGGGAAACCGGAGCUAAUACCGGAUAAUAUUUUGAACCGCAUGGUUCAAAAGUGAAAGACGGUCUUGCGGUCACUUCUAGAUGGAUCCGCGCUGCAUUAGCUAGUUGGUAAGGUAACGGCUUACCAAGGCAACGAUGCAUAGCCGACCUGAGAGGGUGAUCGGCCACACUGGAACUGAGACACGGUCCAGACUCCUACGGGAGGCAGCAGUAGGGAAUCUUCCGCAAUGGGCGAAAGCCUGACGGAGCAACGCCGCGUGAGUGAUGAAGGUCUUCGGAGCGUAAAACUCUGUUAUGAGGGAAGAACAUAUGUGUAAGUAACUGUGCACAUCUUGACGGUAACUAAUCAGAAAGCCACGGCUAACUACGUG
rnacentral:rRNA from 1 species